rnacentral:lncRNA from 1 species
UUUUUUCUAGUAAAUUAAUAAUAACAGAAAGUUGAGCCCAAAACCAGUUAGAAUAUGUGUUGUUGCACCCAGAUUAAAGCACUGCAAGAAACAGGGCACAUUUGUUCAAUGGUAGCUCUAAGUUCCUCAAUAAUUUGAGGCCAGAAAACUUUUAGUAAAGUGAUAUAUACAGGCUCAUAAGAAACAUACCUGGCUUUUCUGUCUUCUGUGAUGUAUAACCGGAAAAUAUAUAGUGCAUGCUACCAACACGGUGGAAUUCGAUUGCCAUCAUGCUAUGAUCACCACCUGUGAAAGAAAUGUAAUGUAAACCACUCAGCGAAACAGUUCAUAGGAGAACUUAACAACACAUUCAACAGAAGUGCAUGUGCAUGUGAAAGUGAAACAUCUAACGCAUGAAUAUAAAUUUCGGACAUUACACAGUAUAGUAUUUUAAGCACAAUAAAUAUUUUAAACAAUAUGUGACUUUCCCUGUUGUAUCAAUAGUAACAGCAUCGGAAAUAAAACACCUAAGAGCAUAAUGAGCAGGAGAUGCUUCCAGGUUCAAGCACUCCCAUCCUUUCCUAAACCACAUAUUAGAUCCUUCCAGAGCCUGGUAAUCAUAGAAGAACGUAGAAUCAAAAUUCCAUACUCACAACGAUUCAUCAACUCAAAAAUCUCCGUUAUAAU